UCUACAAGGACCCGGAAGCAAGUGGGUCCCUGAGACUCGCGGGCCUGCUGCCCGCCCUCUCACCCCCGCCUGAGGGGCAGGAGGAGGAAGCAAGGGGAAAAAUAAAUGAGAAAUACAAGGAGAAAAGAAAAAGAAGCAACAUGUCUGUUAAAAGAACUAAUAACUUAAAAAUAAUCUGACGAGACUAUAAGCAAAUCUUUAUGUUCCCCAAAUUUUAAAAAUGAAUGAAAGGAGAAAAUUCUGAAUCCACAUAUCCGUGCUGGUCCGGAGGGAUCCUGUCAUCCCUAAGCUUAAUUUGGGAACAAAAUCACGCUUUUGAUGAAAGCUGGCCCUCUCCUGCGCAGGUCUCCUUUCCAAGGCCAUAUUGGAGCCUGGGGCUUAUUCCAAGAGCUCCUCCUGACACUAAUGUCUGAAAGAAAUUUGAGAGGUCGUCUCAGCAUCGCAACAUCGAGCGCCACCGUUUAUAGUCCAAGAGACUUCUGGUAAGUCACAGCAUCUCUUCCAUCCUGUGAAGAACUGAGGCGCUAUCAGUGCAGCGUUUUUUCCUGAGUUAAAGCAUAGUGAUUUUGAGUAGGGCAGCCAUGUUCUCUCCCCAAAGGUUGCCUUUCCCAGCCUCCCUUGCAGCUGGAUGGAUCCUGUGGCUGCACUUCAGCCAGUGAUAUGUACAGAAAAGACUGUAUGGUUUUGGAGCAGUCUCCUUACAAGGAAGGGUGUGGGCCCCUCUUCCCUUACUCCUCCUUACUGCCCAGAACACUUACGUGAUUGAUGGUUGUAGCAGCAGCAGCAAUCUUGGCUGUCCUGCAUCCUUGAGGAUAAGCAGACUCAGACCCAUGUUUACACUGUGGCUUUUCUGGGUUUGUCUGGGUCAGCACCUAGUCCUUCCCGAUGAAGCCUUCCUUUUGCAGCUGCCCUGUGAUCUCCAGGGAAAAACUCCACGUGGGCUGGUAUGGCAUACAUUGGAGAGAAAGCUCCUUCCUGAAAAGCGACAGAGUGAAACGGGUGAUAUGGCCAAGCUCUGUACUAAGGAAUAGAGGUGGCAGCCCUGAAGGUCGUGUCACUUUCUGUACACAUGCUCCUGGGAGCUUGGCUGGACGGCCACAGCCCUCAGUGUUUCAUCAUUGGACCACGAGGAAGAAGCGAGUUCUGGACAAUGUCUGAAACGUUCUGCUGACACCUUCUGGUAAGAUCGAGCAUUGCAGAGCGGGCCCGGAAAAGGAUCUGGAGAAGGACAGCAGGUGUUCUGCUCAGAAGUGCCACGCCAGCCACGCGCCUGCAGGCAGAAAGGACGGCGCCAUGUGCAAAAACUGGAUGUUGAUGUCUCAGAGCCAGAAACUGAACACUAGCACCUUUCCCCCACCAACACCUUCCAACAACAUUAUUAAGGAAGAGAAACACACUGUUAAGAGAAAGGAGAGGCAGCUAUUUCUUUUGCCCCAGCAACAAGGGGCAAUGACCAGCAGGACACUCGCGUUCUCACCUCUCCUUUAUGCAUCUGGGGGAUUUCAUGACCUGGGAAGACAGCGGCAACCCAUGAGAAGCAUCACCCAGACUCAGCCGGUGCUUUUAAUGCAUAUCUUUGCUUCAAACCAAAUCAGACCCUUCCCACUUACAUUGACUAUAUUCUAAUCGUACAAAUACUACAUGAACAUGUUCUGUUGUUUGACCACUUCGCCCGCGCUCACCGGCGGGAAAGCUGGCCCGCAGCGGCGCACAGUGCCGGCUCGCCUCGCUCUCUGUGAUGAGGACAGCUUGAAAGCACUGAAGGCUUGUUUUACUCUACAGGCAGCUUUACUUGUCAUGUAAAUCAGAAUAGGU